GAUGAACGCUAGCGGAAGGCCUAAUACAUGCAAGUCGAACGGGCAUAUUGAUUUCGGUUAAUAUGUUAGUGGCGCACGGGUGAGUAACGCGUACACAACCUACCUUAUAUUGGGGGAUAGCCCUGGGAAACUGGGAGUAAUACCGCAUAACAUUAUAGAGAGGCAUCUUUUUAUAAUUAAAGCAUUUGCGAUAUAAGAUGGGUGUGCGUCUGAUUAGGUAGUUGGUAGGGUAACGGCCUACCAAGCCGACGAUCAGUAGGGGGUGUGAGAGCAUGGCCCCCCACACGGUACGUNAGACAC
rnacentral:rRNA from 1 species